UACGUAGGGUGCAAGCGUUGUCCGGAAUCAUUGGGCGUAAAGAGCGUGUAGGCGGCUCGGUAAGUCCGCUGUGAAAGUCCAGGGCUCAACCCUGGAAUGCCAGUGGAAACUGUCGAGCUAGAGUCCGGAAGAGGCGAGUGGAAUUCCUGGUGUAGCGGUGAAAUGCGCAGAUAUCAGGAGGAACACCAAUGGCGAAGGCAGCUCGCUGGGACGGUACUGACGCUGAGACGCGAAAGCGUGGGGAGCAAACAGG
rnacentral:rRNA from 1 species